UACGUAGGGUGCGAGCGUUAAUCGGAAUUACUGGGCGUAAAGCGUGCGCAGGCGGUCUGUUAAGACCGAUGUGAAAUGCCCGGGCUUAACCUGGGAACUGCAUUUGUGACUGCAUGGCUAGAGUUUGGCAGAGGGGGGUAGAAUUCCACGUGUAGCAGUGAAAUGCGUAGAUAUGUGGAGGAACACCGAUGGCGAAGGCAGCCCCCUGGGCCAACACUGACGCUCAGGCACGAAAGCGUGGGGAGCAAACGAGGAUUACGAA
rnacentral:rRNA from 1 species